rnacentral:rRNA from 1 species
AGAGUUUGAUCCUGGCUCAGGACGAACGCUGGCGGCGCGCCUAACACAUGCAAGUCGAACGAGAGAUGAAGAGCUUGCUCUUCAGAUCGAGUGGCGAACGGGUGAGUAACGCGUGAGGAACCUGCCUCAAAGAGGGGGACAACAGUUGGAAACGACUGCUAAUACCGCAUAAGCCCACGGCUCGGCAUCGAGCAGAGGGAAAAGGAGCAAUCCGCUUUGAGAUGGCCUCGCGUCCGAUUAGCUAGUUGGUGAGGUAACGGCCCACCAAGGCGACGAUCGGUAGCCGGACUGAGAGGUUGAACGGCCACAUUGGGACUGAGACACGGCCCAGACUCCUACGGGAGGCAGCAGUGGGGAAUAUUGCACAAUGGGGGAAACCCUGAUGCAGCGACGCCGCGUGGAGGAAGAAGGUCUUCGGAUUGUAAACUCCUGUUGUUGAGGAAGAUAAUGACGGUACUCAACAAGGAAGUGACGGCUAACUACGUGCCAGCAGCCGCGGUAAAACGUAGGUCACAAGCGUUGUCCGGAAUUACUGGGUGUAAAGGGAGCGCAGGCGGGAGAACAAGUUGGAAGUGAAAUCCAUGGGCUCAACCCAUGAACUGCUUUCAAAACUGUUUUUCUUGAGUAGUGCAGAGGUAGGCGGAAUUCCCGGUGUAGCGGUGGAAUGCGUAGAUAUCGGGAGGAACACCAGUGGCGAAGGCGGCCUACUGGGCACCAACUGACGCUGAGGCUCGAAAGUGUGGGUAGCAAACAGGAUUAGAUACCCUGGUAGUCCACACCGUAAACGAUGAUUACUAGGUGUUGGAGGAUUGACCCCUUCAGUGCCGCAGUUAACACAAUAAGUAAUCCACCUGGGGAGUACGACCGCAAGGUUGAAACUCAAAGGAAUUGACGGGGGCCCGCACAAGCAGUGGAGUAUGU